rnacentral:rRNA from 1 species
AUUGAACGCUGGCGGCAGGCUUAACACAUGCAAGUCGAGCGGGGUGAUGGUGCUUGCACUAUCACUUAGCGGCGGACGGGUGAGUAAUGCUUAGGAAUCUGCCUAUUAGUGGGGGACAACAUCUCGAAAGGGAUGCUAAUACCGCAUACGUCCUACGGGAGAAAGCAGGGGAUCACUUGUGACCUUGCGCUAACAGAUGAGCCUAAGUCGGAUUAGCUAGUUUGUGGGGUAAAGGCCUACCAAGGCGACGAUCUGUAGCGGGUCUGAGAGGAUGAUCCGCCACACUGGGACUGAGACACGGCCCAGACUCCUACGGGAGGCAGCAGCGGGGAAUAUUGGACAAUGGGGGGAACCCUGAUCCAGCCAUGCCGCGUGUGUGAAGAAGGCCUUAUGGUUGUAAAGCACUUUAAGCGAGGAGGAGGCUCUUUUGGUUAAUACCCAAGAUGAGUGGACGUUACUCGCAGAAUAAGCACCGGCUAACUCUGUGCCAGCAGCCGCGGUAA